ensembl:ncRNA F45B8.22 ncRNA
UCUCCAUAUUACGCUGACUAGUAGCAAAAAGUGGCCUUCUUUUGCCUUCUCGCAUGGAAUAUCUACCGUAGUCCCCCGGUACAUAUGGCGGCAGCUCCAGAGACUCAGAGAGGCGUAAUUGGGAGGAAAAGCUAUGCAGGAGAGGAAGAGUGAGCAUCCUAUCGUCAACCAUUUUAUGACGCAAUCUAGCUGCCUGGAUAGGAUAACAGAGCAAUUGUC